rnacentral:rRNA from 1 species
CUUUACUGACGCUAAAGCUCGAAAGUGCGGGUAUCGAACAGGAUUAGAUACCCUGGUAGUCCGCACGGUAAACGAUGGAUGCCCGCUGUUUGCGAUAUACUGUAAGCGGCCAAGAGAAAUCGCUAAGCAUCCCACCUGGGGAGUACGCCGGCAACGGUGAAACUCAAAGGAAUUGACGGGGGCCCGCACAAGCGGAGGAACAUGUGGUUUAAUUCGAUGAUACGCGAGGAACCUUACCCGGGCUUGAACUGCAGCAGAACGAGGGAGAGAUCCUGAGGCCCUUCGGGGCUGCUGUGGAGGUGCUGCAUGGUUGUCGUCAGCUCGUGCCGUGAGGUGUCGGCUUAAGUGCCAUAACGAGCGCAACCCCUUUCUUCAGUUGCCAUCAGGUCAUGCUGGGCACUCUGGAGACACUGCCACCGUAAGGUGUGAGGAAGGUGGGGAUGACGUCAAAUCAGCACGGCCCUUACGUCCGGGGCUACACACGUGUUACAAUGGGGAGUACAGAGCGUCAGGCGUUGGCAACACCGCCUUAAUCGUUAAAUCUCUCCUCAGUUCGGAUUGGGGUCUGCAACCCGACCCCAUGAAGCUGGAUUCGCUAGUA